rnacentral:misc_RNA from 1 species
GGGAAUGGGACCUUGAAGUGAGUUCCACUGCAAAUUGAGUUCCACGAGACUUGUGAGCUGGCCCAACCAAUCUGGCAAGUUACCAGUUAAUUUGUUCUCACUGCAAUCAAAGUCCUGCAAACUAGGUAAAGGACCUUUAGAGGGGCAGCUUUCUAUUCCUUCAAGGAAUUCAGGUAAGCUUCCUGUCAGAUUAUUAACUGACAAGUUAAUAUAUUGCAAAUUACAAAGUUUUCCAAUUGAGCUUGGAAUCCU